GACGAACGCUGGCGGCGUGCCUAAUACAUGCAAGUAGAACGCUGAAGGAGGAGCUUGCUUCUCUGGAUGAGUUGCGAACGGGUGAGUAACGCGUAGGUAACCUGCCUGGUAGCGGGGGAUAACUAUUGGAAACGAUAGCUAAUACCGCAUAAUAGCAGUUGUUGCAUGACAACUGUUUGAAAGGUGCACUUGCACCACUACCAGAUGGACCUGCGUUGUAUUAGCUAGUUGGUGGGGUAACGGCUCACCAAGGCGACGAUACAUAGCCGACCUGAGAGGGUGAUCGGCCACACUGGGACUGAGACAAGGCCCAGAAUCCUAAGGGAGGCAGCAGUAGGGAAUCUUCGGCAAAGGACGGAAGUCUGACCGAGCAACGCCGGGUGAGUGAAGAAGGUUUUCGGAUCGUAAAGCUCUGUUGUAAGAGAAGAACGAGUGUGAGAGUGGAAAGUUCACACUGUGACGGUAUCUUACCAGAAAGGGACGGCUAACUACGU
rnacentral:rRNA from 1 species